rnacentral:lncRNA from 1 species
AAAUUUUCUCUUUCAAUUCCUUUUUCGGAUAUAACAUUGAUGCUCCAAUUUUCGAACAUUCCUUCCGGGCCUUCAGUAUAUUUAAAGAAUUCUAGCUCCUUAUUAUCCAUCAGGCCUUGCACCAAGGCUUUGAAUUCAUUACACUUUCAAAUAUCGUGACCCUCUUCAUCAUGAAACUCACAAUAGUUCCUUGCUUCUCUAGGUUUCUCCCCUAAAUCCUAUGUAAUUAAUCCUCCUUCUACUAUUUUCUUCCAAAGGUUUUUACUUCUACUACAUCUGUCUUGAUUCUCUUCCCUACACUCUCGAUUAUUACGUUUAC